CUACAAAUUUGCAAACUAAGGUUUGAUCUCCAGGGUAUGUAGUCAUGAAUUAGCAGGUAGAAACAGCUAUAGCCUAUGAUUAUGAAUAUUAUACAUCUGAAGACAUCCCCUUUAAAAAAUUAAACAGCAUAUGUGUGGAGGAUGUUAUUUAAUUUAGCUUGUUUCCUAAAAGUGAUUUUGUUACAUUACCUAAAUAAGGUGAAAUCUAGGGCAGGCAGAUUCAUGUAGACUGGCUGUCGGAGUCAGUGAAGUGUGAAAUUGCAACCACCAGACAGCCAGCAUAAUAGCUCAGAAGGGGGCUAAUGUUCCUGCUACAUUCACAGAACAUUUUUGUAAUGGCUAAAUUAAAAGAAAAACAUAUAUAGAUUUAUUCUGGGCUCAGUUUUCCUUUUAAUUCAUUGUUUCAUUUCGCAUUCUUGUUUCAAAUUCCUAUUCAUGCCUUCCCCAUUUGCCCCUUUUCUUUCAGCAAGAUUCCACGUAAAUGGACUGAUGCUUAUUAAAAGCAAAGAGCCCACGGUUGGAGAAAGAAAGUGGAAAUCAAAUGGUGGGAAGAGAAGAUAUGUGAGACAGCCAGACCUGUCAUCUCCUAUACUGCAUACAGUCCUGCUCUUCUGGCAGAAAAUUGCACUCCAAUUAAAAGUAAUCAAAGACUGGUCUACUACUUCCUCUCCCUCUUCUUCUCCCUGUCCCUCUUCCUCCGUGGGUUCCCCCUCUCAUCCUCAAGUAAGUUCACCUGUUGCCUUUUUAUAGUGCUUACACCUGAUUGUUGAGUUUACAAUUAAGCGGCUAAGUGUCUGUACACAUUACGACCAUGUUUGAUCAGCUGGUUAAUAGGUGUGGUAUAUUGGAAAGCAGUGCCAAAGAAGUGACAUCAUGUUAGAUAUCUGUGUCUAAUGUAGAGAAGUGUGUUUAGUAUUUUGCAAAACACUGUGUGUAGUGUUUUGCAAAGUGUGAGGCUGAGAAUGUGCAGACCUGAGCUGAGGUUUUGCUCCUUGAGUCUCAGGUUUCACUAACUGUGUGUUAUUUUUAAUUUGAGCAUGUAAGAAAUCGUAAAAACUGUAAUAACUGUAGAUGUUCAUUUUGAAAAAUGUUUCCUCAAAGUUCUUCCUGAUGGAUUUCAGCCUUUUGUUAUAAUAAAUCACUGACUUUACUGCCAUGCACAUGCCUAUACAAGUUACUUAAUCUACUGCUAUUUCACAGCAAGUACUAGGAACCUGUCUCUGAGUCCAUAUUAUAUCGGCUACAUACAGUAACUAUUGCUGUUUUAUAAACAGUCACAGCUUCCUUAAUUCUCUCACACAUACUAAUCACUAGUGUACACAUCUGGAGCUACUCUUGGGACAGGAGACGCAGCAUGAAGCUACCAGCAUACUUUAACACUCAGGAUCUGAUUUAGUGAAGUAUUUAGCACAUGCACAAUGAACAAAACAAGAUGUCAAAGCAUUUGUCAUUCUCCAAACUUUGCUGAUAAACCAAGCAGUCAGCGCCAGAUUAUUCUGAUAUGGAACAGACAUUCGCCAUAAAAUAUUUGUCGUAAAGGUCAUAAAACAUGAACAGAUUAAUAAACCACACCUCUGGGAGUGAAU
ensembl:lncRNA